UGGGGAAUUUUGGACAAUGGACGCAAGUCUGAUCCAGCCAUGCCGCGUGCGGGAAGAAGGCCUUCGGGUUGUAAACCGCUUUUGUCAGGGAAGAAACGAGUUUCUCUAAUACAGAGACUUAAUGACGGUACCUGAAGAAUAAGCACCGGCUAACUACGUGCCAGCAGCCGCGGUAAUACGUAGGGUGCAAACGUUGCUCGGAAUUACUGGGCGUAAAGCGUGCGCAGGCGGUUAUGCAAGACAGAUGUGAAAUCCCCGGGCUCAACCUGGGAACUGCCUUUGUGACUGCAUAGCUAGAGUACGGUAGAGGGGGAUGGAAUUCCGCGUGUAGCAGUGAAAUGCGUAGAUAUGCGGAGGAACACCGAUGGCGAAGGCAAUCCCCUGGACCUGUACUGACGCUCAUGCACGAAAGCGUGGGGAGCAAACA
rnacentral:rRNA from 1 species